rnacentral:rRNA from 1 species
UGUCCUACGGGGGGCAGCAGUAGGGAAUCUUCCACAAUGGGCGAAAGCCUGAACCAGCCAAGUCGCGUGAGGGAAGACGGCCCUACGGGUUGUAAACCUCUUUUGCCGGGGAGCAAGCCUGAGCACGUGUGCCCAGGCGGAGAGUACCCGGAGAAAAAGCAUCGGCUAACUCCGUGCCAGCAGCCGCGGUAAUACGGAGGAUGCGAGCGUUAUCCGGAUUUAUUGGGUUUAAAGGGUGCGCAGGCGGGCUGUUAAGCCGGCGGUAAAAAUUCAGGGCUCAACCCUGGCGAGCCGUCGGAACUGGC